AAUCAUGGCUCAGGAUGAACGCUGGCGGCGUGCUUAACACAUGCAAGUCGAGCGAAGCACUUAGGAAAGAUUCUUCGGAUGAUUUUCUAUUUGACUGAGCGGCGGACGGGUGAGUAACGCGUGGGUAACCUGCCUCAUACAGGGGGAUAACAGUUAGAAAUGACUGCUAAUACCGCAUAAGACCACAGCACCGCAUGGUGCAGGGGUAAAAACUCCGGUGGUAUGAGAUGGACCCGCG
rnacentral:rRNA from 1 species